AACGCACCUUGCGCCCUUUGGCUAUUCCGAAGGGCAUGCCUGUUUGAGUAUCAUGAACACCUCAACUCUCGUGGUUUGCUACGAUGAGCUUGGACUUUGGGGGUCUUGCUGGCCUGUGGUCGGCUCCUCUCAAAUGAAUCAGCUUCCCAGUGUUUGGUGGCGUCGCAGGUGUGAUAACUAUCUACGCUUGUGGUUUUCCACCAGAUAACCUUCAGUGAUGGAGGUUCGCUGGGGCUCAUAAACGUCUUUCCUCAGUGAAGACAGCUUUUUGAACGUUUGAUCUCAAAUCAGGUAGGACUACCCGCUGAACUUAA
rnacentral:misc_RNA from 1 species